GACGUCCUCAACCACGUGUUCCUGCCGGGUUUUACUAUGCUGUCACAGGCCCAAAGGGGCAUGGACUGAGGGUCUGAAACUUUCUUCCUUAUGAGUUGAUUCUUCUUAUCAACAAAGAAAUGGAUGUUCUGGCCACAAAUCUAGAACAGACUGCACCAGCUACUCUGGGUGAGAAUCCAGCUGAGCCACUGAUUGACCUUGGCUUUGUGACUUUGGAAAGACACUUAACUUUAUAAAAAUAUAAAGAAAAGCCACCAUAAAAGCAACGGUGAGAGAGCUUUUCAAAAUGGAGUUGGAAGGCCAUUAAGGAAACAGGAUUCACACACGCCUCCAGCUGCUGCCUGGGAAGUUUUGGCUGACCUUCACCUUCCAUUAUGGUCAUCUGGACGGAGCAAAUUCCCAUGUAUCCAGAGACUCAAGUUCUGUGUCAAGAAGUUAUUGGAUUAUUGUUUUGUGGACAUUUUCACUAUGUAUAUGCAUUUUUUCCUAAUCUUUAACCAGUCACAUUAUCCCUGUCAGCAUUGCCCUUCUCAAUAAUUGAUAGAAGUUUCCCAGAGAAGGGAAUUUUUCCUGCUUUGCCAAUAACUCAGCACUGCUUGCCUAUAUAUGCUCCCACUUCCCUUUCCUCCUUCAGAAUGCCUACUAUGUUCUAUCUGAAUCUGUCUCCUGAAUUGCAAUUCCUAAGACUCCCAAAUAAAGUUCUUUUACAGUCUCAAA